CUCUAUGGUGCUUAGAAGAUGGGAAGGGAAAAACUGUAAAAGAAGAAAAAGGAAAUUAUGCAUUGCAACUAUAUCCUGAAUCAAACAACUAAAAAGCACAGCUUGUAAGGAGAGUAAUGGUGCUCGCUUGCAGCAAAGGGGCAGCUGGAGGCUGGGCCUAGAAGCACCCUGAGCAGAUCUGCUCUUCCUGCUAUCUAAAAGUGCAUGGCCUAGGCCUUCAGAUGCCAUGGACGAAAGGAUCACGUUGUGUUCCAGAAAUGAUUAAUACUUAGAUGUGCCUUUUAUUUGGAAGCAAUGACAUAGAUGUUUUGGAAGAGGGGGCUGGACUGAAUGGGACAUUGUACUUAACAGAGAAUGGCUGAAUUACCCUGGGGAAAGAUCCUACUCAAGAAUAAUAGAGUCAUCGAUGAUACAAAAUGAAACAUCUGUUCUCUCACUCUCCAAUCAAAAGAAUGAACUGGUAUUGAUAAUCACAGCUGCUAAUGACCUUCCUGAGAGCAUAUGAUAAACUGUAAGAUAAUUAUUUCACAUUUUAAAAUAGUUGAUUUCUACAUCAUUCGUUAGAACUAUCUUGGCACAGCAAUAGUUUUUUGUCAUGCUAAAAUGAUAAAUUUUCAUCUCAUGCAGAUACUAGAAUAUGCAAGUCAGUGAUUAAAGGAUGACUGUACAAUCAAGAGGAGCAAAAAUCCUGAAAUUAAGGGUUGCCUAGUCCUACCCCUCCAGUAUUCUUUGAAAGAG
rnacentral:lncRNA from 1 species